rnacentral:snRNA from 1 species
AGGUGUUACAGCUCUUUUACUAUUUAGCUAGCAGGUUCUUACUCUGACUGAGUCAUAA